rnacentral:rRNA from 1 species
CCUACGGGUGGCUGCAGUGAGGAAUAUUGGUCAAUGGGCGGGAGCCUGAACCAGCCAAGUCGCGUGAGGGAAGACGGUCCUAUGGAUUGUAAACCUCUUUAGGCGGGGAGCAAUGCCGGGCACGCGUGCCCGGAGGGAGAGUACCCGCAGAAUAAGCAUCGGCUAACUCCGUGCCAGCAGCCGCGGUAAUACGGAGGAUGCGAGCGUUAUCCGGAUUUAUUGGGUUUAAGGGGUGCGUAGGCGGAUUUUUAAGUCAGCGGUAAAAGGUCCGGGCUAAACCCGGGCCAGCCGUUGAAACUGGCGGUCUCGAGUGGGAGAGAGGUAUGCGGAAUGCGCGGUGUAGCGGUGAAAUGGAUAGAUAUCGCGCAGAACUCCGAUUGCGAAGGCAGCAUGCCGGCUCCACACUGACGCUGAGGCACGAAAGCGUGGGGAUCGAACAGGAUUAGAUACCCUUGUAGUC